rnacentral:rRNA from 1 species
ACUCCUACGGGAGGCAGCAGUGGGGAAUAUUGCACAAUGGGCGCAAGCCUGAUGCAGCCAUGCCGCGUGUAUGAAGAAGGCCUUCGGGUUGUAAAGUACUUUCAGCAGUGAGGAAGGUAGUGUAGUUAAUAGCUGCAUUAUUUGACGUUAGCUGCAGAAGAAGCACCGGCUAACUCCGUGCCAGCAGCCGCGGUAAUACGGAGGGUGCGAGCGUUAUCCGGAUUUAUUGGGUUUAAAGGGUCCGUAGGCGGAUUAAUAAGUCAGUGGUGAAAUCCCAUCGCUUAACGAUGGAACUGCCAUUGAUACUGUUAGUCUUGAAUGAGGGUGCAGUGGUUGGAAUGUGUAGUGUAGCGGUGAAAUGCAUAGAUAUUACACAGAACACCGAUUGCGAAGGCAGAUCACUAACCCUAAAUUGACGNUGAGGGACGAAAGCGUGGGGAGCGAACAGGAUUAGAUACCCUGUAGACUGUC